AUAUGGUCAAGUGAAGAAGCGCAUACGGUGGAUGCCUUGGCAGUCAGAGGCGAUGAAAGACGUGGUAGCCUGCGAAAAGCUUCGGGGAGUCGGCAAACAGACUGUGAUCCGGAGAUGUCUGAAUGGGGGAACCCAGCCAUCACAAGAUGGUUAUCUUACGCUGAAUACAUAGGCGUAAGAGGCGAACCAGGGGAACUGAAACAUCUAAGUACCCUGAGGAAAAGAAAUCAACCGAGAUUCCCUUAGUAGUGGCGAGCGAACGGGGACCAGCCCUUAAGUUGUAUUGAGAUUAGCGGAACGCUCUGGAAAGGGCGGCCAUAGUGGGUGAUAGCCCUGUACGCGAAAAUCCCUUUGCAAUGAAAUCGAGUAGGACGGGGCACGAGAAACCUUGUCUGAAUAUGGGGGGACCAUCCUCCAAGGCUAAAUACUACUGACUGACCGAUAGUGAACCAGUACCGUGAGGGAAAGGCGAAAAGAACCGCGGAGAGCGGAGUGAAAUAGAUCCUGAAACCGUAUGCGUACAAGCAGUGGGAGCCCACUUUGUUGGGUGACUGCGUACCUUUUGUAUAAUGGGUCAGCGACUUAUUUUCAGUGGCGAGCUUAACCGAAUAGGGGAGGCGUAGCGAAAGCGAGUCUUAAUAGGGCGUCUAGUCGCUGGGAAUAGACCCGAAACCGGGCGAUCUAUCCAUGGGCAGGUUGAAGGUUGGGUAACACUAACUGGAGGACCGAACCGACUACCGUUGAAAAGUUAGCGGAUGACCUGUGGAUCGGAGUGAAAGGCUAAUCAAGCUCGGAGAUAGCUGGUUCUCCUCGAAAGCUAUUUAGGUAGCGCCUCAUGUAUCACUGUAGGGGGUAGAGCACUGUUUCGGCUAGGGGGUCAUCCCGACUUACCAAACCGAUGCAAACUCCGAAUACCUACAAGUGCCGAGCAUGGGAGACACACGGCGGGUGCUAACGUCCGUCGUGAAAAGGGAAACAACCCAGACCGUCAGCUAAGGUCCCAAAGUCAUGGUUAAGUGGGAAACGAUGUGGGAAGGCUUAGACAGCUAGGAGGUUGGCUUAGAAGCAGCCACCCUUUAAAGAAAGCGUAAUAGCUCACUAGUCGAGUCGGCCUGCGCGGAAGAUGUAACGGGGCUCAAACCAUGCACCGAAGCUACGGGUAUCAUCUUAUGAUGAUGCGGUAGAGGAGCGUUCUGUAAGCCUGUGAAGGUGAGUUGAGAAGCUUGCUGGAGGUAUCAGAAGUGCGAAUGCUGACAUGAGUAACGACAAUGGGUGUGAAAAACACCCACGCCGAAAGACCAAGGUUUCCUGCGCAACGUUAAUCGACGCAGGGUUAGUCGGUCCCUAAGGCGAGGCUGAAAAGCGUAGUCGAUGGAAAACAGGUUAAUAUUCCUGUACUUCUGGUUAUUGCGAUGGAGGGACGGAGAAGGCUAGGCCAGCCUGGCGUUGGUAGUCCAGGUUUAAGGUGGUAGGCUGAGAUCUUAGGUAAAUCCGGGAUCUUAAGGCCGAGAGCUGAUGACGAGUGUUCUUUUAGAACACGAAGUGGUUGAUGCCAUGCUUCCAAGAAAAGCUUCUAAGCUUCAGGUAACCAGGAACCGUACCCCAAACCGACACAGGUGGUUGGGUAGAGAAUACCAAGGCGCUUGAGAGAACUCGGGUGAAGGAACUAGGCAAAAUGGCACCGUAACUUCGGGAGAAGGUGCGCCGGUGAGGGUGAAGCAUUUACUGCGUAAGCCCAUACCGGUCGAAGAUACCAGGCCGCUGCGACUGUUUAUUAAAAACACAGCACUCUGCAAACACGAAAGUGGACGUAUAGGGUGUGACGCCUGCCCGGUGCCGGAAGGUUAAUUGAUGGGGUUAGCGCAAGCGAAGCUCUUGAUCGAAGCCCCGGUAAACGGCGGCCGUAACUAUAACGGUCCUAAGGUAGCGAAAUUCCUUGUCGGGUAAGUUCCGACCUGCACGAAUGGCGUAACGAUGGCGGCGCUGUCUCCACCCGAGACUCAGUGAAAUUGAAAUCGCUGUGAAGAUGCAGUGUAUCCGCGGCUAGACGGAAAGACCCCGUGAACCUUUACUAUAGCUUUGCACUGGACUUUGAAUUUGCUUGUGUAGGAUAGGUGGGAGGCUUUGAAGCGUGGACGCCAGUCUGCGUGGAGCCAACCUUGAAAUACCACCCUGGCAACUUUGAGGUUCUAACUCAGGUCCGUUAUCCGGAUCGAGGACAGUGUAUGGUGGGUAGUUUGACUGGGGCGGUCUCCUCCUAAAGAGUAACGGAGGAGUACGAAGGUGCGCUCAGACCGGUCGGAAAUCGGUCGUAGAGUAUAAAGGCAAAAGCGCGCUUGACUGCGAGACAGACACGUCGAGCAGGUACGAAAGUAGGUCUUAGUGAUCCGGUGGUUCUGUAUGGAAGGGCCAUCGCUCAACGGAUAAAAGGUACUCCGGGGAUAACAGGCUGAUACCGCCCAAGAGUUCAUAUCGACGGCGGUGUUUGGCACCUCGAUGUCGGCUCAUCACAUCCUGGGGCUGAAGCCGGUCCCAAGGGUAUGGCUGUUCGCCAUUUAAAGUGGUACGCGAGCUGGGUUUAGAACGUCGUGAGACAGUUCGGUCCCUAUCUGCCGUGGACGUUUGAGAUUUGAGAGGGGCUGCUCCUAGUACGAGAGGACCGGAGUGGACGAACCUCUGGUGUUCCGGUUGUCACGCCAGUGGCAUUGCCGGGUAGCUAUGUUCGGAAAAGAUAACCGCUGAAAGCAUCUAAGCGGGAAACUUGCCUCAAGAUGAGAUCUCACUGGAACCUUGAGUUCCCUGAAGGGCCGUCGAAGACUACGACGUUGAUAGGUUGGGUGUGUAAGCGCUGUGAGGCGUUGAGCUAACCAAUACUAAUUGCCCGUGAGGCUUGACCAU
rnacentral:rRNA from 1 species